rnacentral:rRNA from 1 species
GUGUCAGCCGCCGCGGUAAAACCAGCACCUCAAGUGGUCAGGAGGAUUAUUGGGCCUAAAGCAUCCGUAGCCUGCUCUGUAAGUUUCCGGUUAAAUCCAUUAGCUCAACUAAUGGCCUGCCGGAAAUACUGUAGAGCUAGGAAGUGGGAGAGGUAGACGGUACUCGGUAGGAAGGGGUAAAAUCCUUUGAUCUAUUGAUGACCACCUGUGGCGAAGGCGGUCUACCAGAACACGUUCGACGGUGAGGGAUGAAAGCUGGGGGAGCAAACCGGAUUAGAUACCCGGGUAGUCCCAGCUGUAAACGAUGCAGACUCGGUGAUGCCCUGGCUUGUGGCCAGUGCAGUGCCGCAGGGAAGCCGUUAAGUUUGCCGCCUGGGAAGUACGUACGCAAGUAUGAAACUUAAAGGAAUUGGCGGGGGAGCACCACAAGGGGUGAAGCCUGCGGUUCAAUUGGAGUCAACGCCAGAAAUCUUACCCGGAGAGACAGCAGAAUGAAGGUCAAGCUGAAGACUUUACCAGACAAGCUGAGAGGUGGUGCAUGGCCGUCGCCAGCUCGUGCCGUGAGAUGUCCUGUUAAGUCAGGUAACGAGCGAGAUCCCUGCCUCUAGUUGCCACCAUUACUCUCAGGAGUAGUGGGGCGAAUUAGCGGGACCGCCACAGUUAAUGUGGAGGAAGGAAGGGGCCACGGCAGGUCAGUAUGCCCCGAAACUCUGGGGCCACACGCGGGCUGCAAUGGUAGUGACAAUGAGUUCCGAAACCGAAAGGUGGAGGUAAUCUUCAAACGCUACCACAGUUAUGAUUGAGGGCUGCAACUCGCCCUCAUGAAUAUGGAAUCCCUAGUAACUGCGUGUCAUUAUCGCGCGGUGAAUACGUCCCUGCUCCUUGUACACACCGCCCGUC